GAAACGGCCACCGCAGGGUUGGCGGAGUUGGGAAAGAGCAAAGAUGGCGGAGUGAGGUGUUCCGUGGCACACCGGCCUUUGGGCCGGGGGUGGGCCGGCCCCCGGGCGGUCAAGUGCUUCUGCUGGCUCGUGCGAGGAAGAACAUUUUCCUUGACUUUUAAGUACUUUUAUAUUCAUCUUGAAAAGAAAACAAAACCCUGAACUCAGGAUUUGGCAAGUAUUUCUGUGUCGUCUCCUGGAGUGGAUAGUCCUGCUUUGUUUAUCCAGUCACUUUUUCUAAUCUUGAAAUAUGGAUGUCUCUUCUGUACACUUUACCUCCAUGAUUUGGAUUGGAAAAGGCUGCUUUUCUUUUGUUUCCACCUCUCAAAUUCAACUCAGAGAAGAUCCUAGGGUGCAGUUAUCCUGCAGACUUCUCCAGGAAGAAAGAAGCAACUGACAUGUGUCUUCUGCUGCUACUUGCUUAAUUGUAAAGAAAUUAUCUUGCAAACUGAAGGCUGAUGUUUAAUUUGAAACAGGUGCUUAGAUGGUGGUAUUUGUGAGUUCUCUACCUUUUGUUUCCAACAAGAAGACUUACAUAUAAAUAGCAAGUAUGGAUGACAUUAGAGUUUUUUUUAAUGUCUUCCAGUUUCAGCCACUAUCAUGAUAAGCACAGUGGAGGCUGCAGCAGCAAAUUCCAAAUAUGUGUGGAAAUCUGAAAUGAAAGAGAUGCUAAAAAAUUACAUAUGUAUCUAAAUCCUGGCUCAUCCUGCGAUAGAUUAACCGGAUAAGAACAAAAGUCCCAUUUUGCAGUAAAACCUUUGAUGUGAUAAGGAAGCAUAAAGACAAAAUAUUGCAAGGUUAAUUUCAUAUGUGAAUAAACCAUCACAAUCUCUGUAUAAAUACAUAUUUUUACAUGUGUAAAUCCACUUUUUUGAAUGAGAAGAGGAAUUUUUCUCCUAGAAAAAGAUGUUCUUUCUCAGAAGUCUUUGGACAUUUGGUAUUUUUAAAUGAUUUUUUCGUUCUUCGAAGGACCACAUUGUACAGCUGCUAACCCUAUGAAUGCAUGCUUGGGUUUAGUGAAAGGUUGGUAAAAGGAAACAAAUGUUUUGAGUCCAGUGAUGGAACCUUAUUCACCUCUGUAGGAUGAGAGGCUGCUAUAUCACCAAUUACUUCAUUCUUUUUUAUGGAGUCCUAUAUAGCUCUUGAGACGGUUUUCUGUGCUGCUAGGCUGGAAGAAAGGUGACAUGUGGUUUUUCUGCUCUGAAGAUGAGAUGGACCCUACAGUAUAACCUGCCUUCAACUUUGGACAUGGAGGAAUGGUGGGUGGAGGGGGAUGAGAAGUUUCCAUAUAACUCCCUUCUCCUAAGAAAAAGAUGUGAAAAUGCCUUAUGCAGCUCCACCUGACUUUAUGGCAUUUUACAUUCUAUAGCUCUGUUUUUUGUAAAAUCUUAAAUAACUUUUUUCCUUUGACUCAAGAUUGGUACUUGGAUGCUUGAUUUAUUUUUCUAGAUAGCUGUAAUGUCAGGCUGAAUAGGCUGGGACUCACGUAACUUUCUCCAGUUGGAACUUAACUUGCUCAUCAGCGAACCGGCCUCAGAAGCAGUGUUCCCAAACUUGUGGUUAGGUCAGUGUAGAUUAGAAGAAAUUCAGGGUCUGAAAAAACCUCAAACAAGAAAAAUAGUUCCAAUAAGACAUGGAUCUUUCUUCCUUACCCUUAAAACUUAUACUAUAUGAUGAACAGACUAUAGUCGUAAAGUUGUUCUUAAUCAACAGAGGACCAGUGUAUGAAUUGUCAGGUCUUUACAUAAGAGUGAAACCUUUAUGAGUUUGUGUGAGUAGAGAAAGGAUUUAAAGCUUCUUAGAUGAAAUUAAGAAUAAACCAUCCUAGAUCAUCUCUGUGGUUUAGGGAAUGUUUUCCCAAGGCUAUACAUGCAAUGAUGCUGAAAACUUCAGAUUUACCAAAAAUUGAGAGUAGUAGAAAUGGCCAAAAAGUGGAAAUGUUGAGCACUCUUAAUGAUUAGUUUAAUUGGUCGACCAAUUUGAAUUGGCACAGGAAGCGUUUUAGUAAAAUAAUUACAUCAUAUAUGUAAAUACAUUAAUUUCCUUUAAUUGAGGGCUGUUACUAAGUGGUAAAGCAUAGAAAUAACUUUGGAUAAAGGUAACUUAAAUUUUUAUCUAACUUCCCAGCCACUUCCUGAUGUUUUAGUAUUUUGGUAUUGUUAAGGACAGAAUGGAAAUUUCGUACAUGGGUCCAUCCCAUUGGUACGUUGAAAAUACCAUAUAUUAUGGAGAAUUUGGAUGUUCAGUUGUCUGUAACCCGUCUUCCCCAUGUGUUUUUGACCAUUUUUGGGGUAAGAUCAUUGGCAGGAAAUAGGAACUCUGUACUAUAAGCACCAGUGAAACCAUCUCAGGCCCACUUAUUUGAAUAUGUAUCAGACUCAGCCUCUCCACUUGCUUUGUAUUUUCUCAUUUCACAACUAAGACAGCCACCUUCUAAUGCUCUUUCAUGUUGUUUCUGCAUCUUGUCACCAAAUGGCAUUUAACAAAAUGGGUAUUUUCCAGUCGUACUUGCCCAGUGUUUACUUAAUACAUCUACAUUUUUUCCUGGUCUAUUUUGGUCCGCUUCUUGGUGACAAAAGCUAUGAUUUUAGGCAGGACUAUGCCUUGAUCUAUAGCUGUACCUACUUCCUUUGCUCAUCUCUGUUAGCUGGCAGUUUUUCUUUUAAAAAGUUAAAAACGGGAUAUGUGCAAUAGAAAUAUAUAUAUGUAUAUUUUAAUACUUGUGGACAAAUGUUACAAGUUGUUUAAGAACAACAAAAUCACCAAUGUCUUCCAUUUUGAGAUGUGUAUAGUUUUGUAAGCAUUAGUGCUUGGUAGCGUAUUGUAGUGCCAUGUUAGAGGUUAGUGCAUGAACCUAGUAAUAAUUUAAACUUCAGGAUAAAUUAUUAUAACCCAUAGUGUAAAAAGAGUGAAAAAUCUUUUCUUUUUUCAUAAAUUUCUGUAUCCAUGAUAUACUCCCUGGGGAAAGGAGAUUAGGCCAAAAAGACUCAUUUAUGAACAGAAAUGUGGGGUCAUAAUGUGAAAUACUGUGUUUGAGGAUACUUACGCUUUCCAUGAGGUAGCUGGAAACCAGCUGCCUUUGUGUCUUAUGAAACCUUAAAUUAAAAUGAGGCCCCAUUUUACGAUUCUGCUUUGUUCUCCGUUUGAGGUGAAAUUGUUCUUUCCCUGUUUUCACAUUGUAUGUCCUUCUAGGUUUAUUAGUUUCCUACUCCUUUUGCAUCAAGCAAGUAUAUUUUGACUGUCUUAACUGAGAUGCUGUGUUAAUUGCUUGAGUGUUUUUCUAAUCUGCAGACCAUUUACAUUUCCUGUUUGCAGCAUGCUAACAGAAGAACACUGGUCAGUAGUUCAGUGUCCUAGAUUAAUUUGUCACAGGCUUUUCCUAUUUCCAAAUCUGCUGAAUUAUGCAUCGAUGGGAUUCCAGACCUUUUCAUGAGGGUUGGGAAUGUAACUGAUGGAGCCUACCUAGAUUGCCCUGUAGUAACUCUUGCUUGGUUAUAGUAAGCCGCCUCAGACAGCUUUCACUUUUUUCUACUUUCCUUGUAGACAUAAAAGUUUUGUUCUGAAAACAUAAGACAGCUUUCUGUAGAAAAGAAAUUCCUACCUCUAAAAGCUGCCUUUAGAGCUUGGAAAUGGCAGUUUUUUGAGGUGAUUUUUAAAUCUUGGUAUUAGGAGAGUCCAGGAUUUACUGGCACAGGUUCUACAGUUAGCAUGAUAGGAAAUGUAAAACUAUUUUAAUGUGUGUCUCCUGUGUAGAAGCAAGCUUAGACAAACUUUUUGGCAGCAGAUCUCCAGGGCCCCAGGGUUACAUUCUCAUAGUGUAUUUUUAGUAGUUGUAUUGGCUCAAGUAGUUUAGCGCCUGCAAGAAUCCAUUUCUGAAAAGCAUUUAAACAUUUUUUUAAAAAAAUACCUCUGAAAAGGUAAUGAAUGCAAAAUAGCACAGUAUAUAGGAAAGGAUAUUUCCUGUUGCAAAAAAAAAAAAAAA